rnacentral:rRNA from 1 species
GAGCAACCUGCCCCAAGCUUUGGGAUAACCCUCGGAAACGGGGGCUAAUACCGAAUAUUACUGCUGGCCGCAUGGUUGGUGGUGGAAAGUUUUUCGGCUUGGGAUGGGCUCGCGGCCUAUCAGCUUGUUGGUGGGGUGAUGGCCUACCAAGGCGACGACGGGUAGCCGGCCUGAGAGGGCGACCGGCCACACUGGGACUGAGACACGGCCCAGACUCCUACGGGAGGCAGCAGUGGGGAAUAUUGCACAAUGGGCGGAAGCCUGAUGCAGCGACGCCGCGUGAGGGAUGACGGCCUUCGGGUUGUAAACCUCUUUCAGCAGGGACGAAGCGAGAGUGACGGUACCUGCAGAAGAAGCACCGGCCAACUACGUGCCAGCAGCCGCGGUAAGACGUAGGGUGCGAGCGUUGUCCGGAUUUAUUGGGCGUAAAGAGCUCGUAGGCGGCUUGUCGCGUCGACCGUGAAAACUUGGGGCUCAACCCCAAGCCUGCGGUCGAUACGGGCAGGCUAGAGUUCGGUAGGGGAGACUGGAAUUCCUGGUGUAGCGGUGAAAUGCGCAGAUAUCAGGAGGAACACCGGUGGCGAAGGCGGGUCUCUGGGCCGAUACUGACGCUGAGGAGCGAAAGCGUGGGGAGCGAACAGGAUUAGAUACCCUGGUAGUCCACGCUGUAAACGUUGGGCGCUAGGUUGUGGGGGGCCUC